rnacentral:tRNA from 1 species
GAAGAGGUGGCUGAGUGGAUUAAAGCGAUAGUUUGCUAAACUAUUAUAAUCAUUCUUAUGUUUAUCGUUGGUUCGAAUCCAAUUCUCUUUA